UACGGAGGGUGCAAGCGUUAUCCGGAUUCACUGGGUUUAAAGGGUGCGUAGGUGGAUCUGUAAGUCAGGGGUGAAAUCCCGAGGCUCAACCUCGGAACUGCCUUUGAUACUAUUGGUCUUGAAUGUUGUUGAGGUGGGCGGAACGGGUCAUGUAGCGGUGAAAUGCAUAGAUAUGACCCGGAACACCGAUUGCGAAGGCAGCCCGCUAAGCAACUAUUGACGCUGAGGCACGAAAGCGUGGGGAUCAAACAGG
rnacentral:rRNA from 1 species